rnacentral:rRNA from 1 species
AUGGCGGACAAUACCGGCAAAGAGGGAGAAGAGGCCCUGUUCGAGAUCAUACGCAGCCCUAGCAGGCCAGAUGAUCUGAAUGAAGAAAAUGACGGCUCCCAAUAUCUGAACAAAACCGGGGAGGGUGAUGAUAAGAUAUUCGAUCUCGACGACCGAGCUGAUGAAGUCAUGAACUAUGAUUAUGAUUAUGAUGACGCAGACAAUGAUUAUGAUGACGAAUACAAUGUUGAUCUUGAAAUAACAAAGACUACCGGCGAGGUAUAUUUAUAUAAGCAGGCAUCUAGUGAUCAUCACAUGUUUUUUUUAUUUGAAGAUAUAUUAACGAAUCGAUCUUUCUUCUUUCAGCCCUCCGGAUUGAGCAAAUCUGCUUCUACAGACAGCAGGACAAAGCGCGGCCCGGGCAAAAAGUUGAAGGAGGGUGUAAAGUACAACAUCGAUUCCAUCAAAGCUAGUGGCGAACCCCUCAUGCCUAAGAACAUUGCGAACAAGUUCGUUCGUCAGUGCGGAGUUCUUGUGAAGGACCAACUCCCGAUCUCCAUUCAAGAAUAG